rnacentral:rRNA from 1 species
GACGAACGCUGGCGGCGUGCUUAACACAUGCCAGUCGAACGGUAAGGCCCCUUCGGGGGUACACGAGUGGCGAACGGGUGAGUAACACGCGGGUGAUAUGCCCUGCACUUCGGGAUAAGCCCGGGAAACUGGGUGUAAUACCGGAUAGGACCACGCUCUGCAUGGAGUGUGGUGGAAAGCUUUUGCGGGGUGGGAUGGGCCCGCGGCCUAUCAGCUUGUUGGUGGGGGGAUGGCCUACCAAGGCGACGACGGGUAGCCGGCCUGAGAGGGUGUCCGGCCACACUGGGACUGAGAUACGGCCCAGACUCCUACGGGAGGCAGCAGUGGGGAAUAUUGCACAAUGGGCGCAAGCCUGAUGCAGCGACGCCGCGUGGGGGAUGACGGCCUUCGGGUUGUAAACCUCUUUCAGUACCGACGAAGCGCAAGUGACGGUAGGUACAGAAGAAGCACCGGCCAACUACGUG